UUGCUCGCUUUGGUAGCACAUAUAAUAAAAAUUGGAAUGGUACAGAGAAGAAUAGCAUGGCCCCUUAGCAAGGAUGACAUGCAAAUUCAUGAAGUGUUCUGUAUUUUU